CUUGGUCAUUUAGAGGAAGUAAAAGUCGUAACAAGGUCUCCGUAGGUGAACCUGCGGAGGGAUCAUUACUGAGUGAGGGCUACGGCUCGACCUCCAACCCUUUUGUUGACCAACACCUGUUGCCUUGGGGGUGGUCCGGACCUGGCCUUGGCGUCGGGUUGCCGGAGCCCUCAGAGGACCAUUUCAACUCUGUAUCUUUACAUCGGAGUCGUGAUUAAAUCAAUCAAAACUUUCAACAACGGAUCUCUUGGUUCUGGCAUCGAUGAAGAACGCAGCGAAAUGCGAUAAGUAAUGUGAAUUGCAGAAUUCAGUGAAUCAUCGAAUCUUUGAACGCACAUUGCGCCCUUUGGUAUUCCGAAGGGCAUGCCCGUUCGAGCGUCAUUAAACCCACUCAAGCCUGGCUUGGUAUUGGGCGGCUGAGGAUGUCCUCGCGCCCCAAUGUCACCGGCGAGACUUCCGAUCGCGAGCGUUAUGGUAUUCAACCCGCAAAGCGAUUCGGUAACGCCUCCACCGUUAAACUUCAAUCACGGUUGACCUCGGAUCGGGUAGGGAUACCCGCUGAACUUAAGCAUAUCACUAAGCGGAGGA
rnacentral:rRNA from 1 species